UUGCUUAUUUUUAAGCAAGUGUCACAUCAAUGUUUAGAUACUAAUUAGGAGUAUUAAACGUAGGCUAUUUACAAAACCCAUUACAUAAGUGGAGUCUAAACAGCGAGACGAACCUAUUAAGCCUAAUUAAUCCAUCAUUAGCAAAUGUUUACUGUAGCAACACAUUGUCAAAUCAUGGACUAAUUAGGCUUAAUAGAUUCGUCUCGCCGUUUAGCCUCCACUUAUGUAAUGGAUUUUGUAAAUAGUCUACGUUUAAUACUCCUAAUUAGUAUCUAAACAUUGAUGUGACACUUGCUUAAAAAUAAGCAAAUGGAACC
rnacentral:lncRNA from 1 species